CAAAAUUGGUUUACCUGCAAAGGAGAAGGUCAAGGCAAAUUCGGGCAAUUGUUCAUUUUACGAACAAUGUGAACAGUGUGAAAAGGAGGCAGUGAAGUUGUCCCUGACGAACUUAUUGACAUAUCCAUAUGUCCGAAAGGCAAUUGCAAACAAUGCACUCAAGUUGAUGGGUGGAUACUAUGAUUUUGUGGAUGGAACAUUUGAGGUUGUGCUGUUCGAGACUCACUUUUCACCUCCCAUCCCAGCCAUCUGAGUGAUCUCCAAGUUUGAAGUCAUGUUGUCUCUUAUUGGCAAUAUUAUCCAUUUGCAAACAAUAAAAUGUAUGCAUUUCGUUUUUGUAAGCUUUAAGCUGGUUGUUUCAGACAUGCUUUAUAAAUUCCCAUAUUCUCCCAUCA